GCUUUAUCAGUCUGGGAAGCCACUGUGGCAUGAGGAAAUGGAAAUUUGGAAACAGGACUUGCUGAAGACUUUGGGUAACUUCCAACUUCCACGCACAAGCACACACCCCUGCUGCGUGGAUGCAGGCCGGCACAUAACUACGUUUGAACUGCAAAAACUUCUGAUUAAAACCUGCGGCUGGAAUAUAUCCCACCAAGUUGUCACAUGGCUUUGGCAUGCCCUGACAAUGAGGCGCUUCAUGCUGACUGUCAAGUCUGACUUCAUCAGCCUUCCUCGCUAUUUUGUCUUUACGGGCGACAACAAGGGUCGCGGGAGUGCUGGAGCCUAUCCCAGCUGUCAUUGGGCAGGAGGUGGGGUACACCCUGAACUGGUUGCCAGCCAAUCGCAGGGCACAUACAAACAAACAACCAUUCGCACUGACAUUCACACCUACGGGCAAUUUAGAGUCUUCAAUUAACCUGCAUGCAUGUUUUUGGGAUGUGGGAGGAAACCGGAGUGCCCGGAGAAAACCCAUGCAGGCACGGGGAGAACAUGCAAACUCCACACAGGCGGGGCCGGGGAUUGAACCCCAGUCCUCAGAACUGUGAGGCAGAUGCUCUAACCAGUCAUCACCGUGCCGCUGCUAUGGACCUGUUUGCCAUGGGUGACCCGACCAGGGGCGUGAAGCCCCAGACAGCUCCCAGGACACACAAACCCCUCAACCACAAUAAGGUGACAGCUCAGGGAGAGGACAAUUCACUUAAGUAGUUGUAAAUAAAACCCACAUUUUAAAUACUUGACUCCUUUCCAGUCACUGUCACUUCC